AUUGAACGCUGGCGGCAGGCCUAACACAUGCAAGUCGAGCGGAUGAGAGGAGCUUGCUUCUCGAUUCAGCGGCGGACGGGUGAGUAAUGCCUAGGAAUCUGCCUGGUAGUGGGGGACAACGUUUCGAAAGGAACGCUAAUACCGCAUACGUCCUACGGGAGAAAGCAGGGGACCUUCGGGCCUUGCGCUAUCAGAUGAGCCUAGGUCGGAUUAGCUAGUUGGUGAGGUAAUGGCUCACCAAGGCGACGAUCCGUAACUGGUCUGGGAGGAUGAUCAGUCACACUGGAACUGAGACACGGUCCAGACUCCUACGGGAGGCAGCAGUGGGGAAUAUUGGACAAUGGGCGAAAGCCUGAUUCAGCCAUGCCGCGUGUGUGAAGAAGGUCUUCGGAUUGUAAAGCACUUUAAGUUGGGAGGAAGGGUUGUAGAUUAAUACUCUGCAAUUUUGACGUUACCGACAGAAUAAGCACCGGCUAACUCUGUGCCAGCAGCCGCCGUAACAC
rnacentral:rRNA from 1 species